rnacentral:rRNA from 1 species
CCUACGGGAGGCAGCAGUGAGGAAUAUUGGUCAAUGGACGCAAGUCUGAACCAGCCAUGCCGCGUGCAGGAAGACGGCUCUAUGAGUUGUAAACUUCUUUUGUCAAGGGACAAAAUCAGGCUCGAGAGCCUGACCGAGGGUACUUGAAGAAAAAGCAUCGGCUAACUCCGUGCCAGCAGCCGCGGUAAUACGGAGGAUGCGAGCGUUAUCCGGAUUUAUUGGGUUUAAAGGGUGCGUAGGCGGACUGUUAAGUCAGCGGUAAAAGCCCGGGGCUCAACCCCGGCGAGCCGUUGAAACUGGCUGUCUUGAGAUGUCGAGAGGUAUGCGGAAUGCGCAGUGUAGCGGUGAAAUGCUUAGAUAUUGCGCAGAACUCCGAUUGCGAAGGCAGCAUACCGGCGGCGAUCUGACGCUGAGGCACGAAAGCGUGGGUAUCGAACAGGAUUAGAUACCCGGGUAGUC